rnacentral:rRNA from 1 species
GACGAACGCUGGCGGCGUGCCUAAUACAUGCAAGUCGAGCGGACCUCUUCGGAGGUCAGCGGCGGACGGGUGAGUAACACGUGGGCAACCUGCCUGUAAGACUGGGAUAACACCGGGAAACCGGUGCUAAUACCGGAUAAUCCUUUUCCUCACAUGAGGGGAAGCUGAAAGACGGUUUCGGCUGUCACUUACAGAUGGGCCCGCGGUGCAUUAGCUAGUUGGUGGGGUAACGGCCCACCAAGGCGACGAUGCGUAGCCGACCUGAGAGGGUGAUAGGCCACACUGGGCCUCAGACCCGUCCCAGACUCCCACGGGAAGCAGCAGUAUGGAAUCUUCCGCAAUGGUCGUAAGUCUGACGGAGCAACGCCGCGUGAGCGAAGAAGGCCUUCGGGUCGUAAAGCUCUGUUGUCAGGGAAGAACACGUACCGGAGUAACUGCCGGUACCUUUACGGUACCUGACCAGAAAGCCACGGCUAACUACGUGCCAGCAGCCGCGGUAAUAC